AACGCGAAGAACCUUACCCGGGUUUGAAUUGCAUCGGUGUAGUCGGUAGAGAUAUCGGCGAGGGGGCAACCCCACUGAUGUGAAGGUGCUGCAUGGCUGUCGUCAGCUCGUGCCGUGAGGUGUUGGGUUAAGUCCCGCAACGAGCGCAACCCUUAUCCUUAGUUGCCAGCAAGUUAUGUUGGGCACUCUGGGGAGACUGCCGACACAAGUCGGAGGAAGGUGGGGAUGACGUCAAGUCAGCAUGGCCCUUACGUCCGGGGCUACACACGUGCUACAAUGGCCGGUACAACGGGCAGCGAGACCGCGAGGUGGAGCGAAUCCCUUUAAAGCCGGCCUCAGUUCGGAUUGUAGGCUGCAACUCGCCUGCAUGAAGUUGGAAUCACUAGUAACCGCAGAUCAGCUACGCUGCGGUGAAUACGUUCCCGGGCCUUGUACACACCGCAUAC
rnacentral:rRNA from 1 species